rnacentral:rRNA from 1 species
UCGGGAAUUUUGGGCAAUGGGCGCAAGCCUGAUCCAGCCAUGCCGCGUGCGGGAAGAAGGCCUUCGGGUUGUAAACCGCUUUUGUCAGGGAAGAAACGCUCUGGGCUAAUACCCUGGGGUAAUGACGGUACCUGAAGAAUAAGCACCGGCUAACUACGUGCCAGCAGCCGCGGUAAUACGUAGGGUGCAAGCGUUAAUCGGAAUUACUGGGCGUAAAGCGUGCGCAGGCGGUUAUGCAAGACAGAUGUGAAAUCCCCGGGCUCAACCUGGGAACUGCAUUUGUGACUGUAUAGCUAGAGUACGGUAGAGGGGGAUGGAAUUCCGCGUGUAGCAGUGAAAUGCGUAGAUAUGCGGAGGAACACCGAUGGCGAAGGCAAUCCCCUGGACCUGUACUGACGCUCAUGCACGAAAGCGUGGGGAGCAAACAGGAUUAGAUACCCUCGUAGUCCCUGAGCGGGCUGGCAAGGCGCAU